rnacentral:rRNA from 1 species
CCUACGGGAUGCUGCAGUGAGGAAUAUUGGUCAAUGGUCGGGAGACUGAACCAGCCAAGCCGCGUGAGGGAUGAAGGUACAGAGUAUCGUAAACCUCUUUUGUCAGGGAACAAAGGCGGGGACGUGUCCCCGGAUGAGUGUACCUGAAGAAAAAGCAUCGGCUAACUCCGUGCCAGCAGCCGCGGUAAUACGGAGGAUGCGAGCGUUAUCCGGAUUUAUUGGGUUUAAAGGGUGCGCAGGCGGGUUGUUAAGUCAGCGGUAAAAGCCCGGGGCUCAACCCCGGCCCGCCGUUGAAACUGGCAGUCUCGAGUUGGAGAGAAGUAUGCGGAAUGCGCGGUGUAGCGGUGAAAUGCAUAGAUAUCGCGCAGAACUCCGAUUGCGAAGGCAGCAUGCCGGCUCCACACUGACGCUGAGGCACGAAAGCGUGGGUAUCGAACAGGAUUAGAUACCCUUGUAGUC